rnacentral:rRNA from 1 species
AUUGAACGCUGGCGGCAGGCCUAACACAUGCAAGUCGAACGAGAGGCGGACGGGUGAGUAAUGUAUGGGAAACUGGCUGAUGGAGGGGGAUAACUACUGGAAACGGUAGCUAAUGCCGCUUAAGAUCGGUUGGGGCCACAUGGGAUUAGCUAGUAGGUGGGGUAACGGCUCACCUAGGCGACGAUCCCUAGCUGGCCUGAGAGGAUGAUCAGCCACACUGGAACUGAGACACGGUCCAGACUCCGACGGGAGGCAGCAGUGGGGAAUAUUGGACAAUGGGCGAAAGCCUGAUGCAGCAAUGCCGCGUGUAUGAAGAAGGCCUUCGGAUUGUAAAGUACUUUCAGCGGGGAGGCGUUACUCGCAGAAGAAGCACCGGCUAACUACGUGCCAGCAGCCGCGGUAAUAC